rnacentral:rRNA from 1 species
GACAGAGGUGCCGAGCGUUAGGCGGAAUCACUGGGCUUAAAGCGUGUGUAGGCGGAUGGGUAAGUACCUUGUGAAAUCCCACGGCUCAACCGUGGAACUGCUCGGUAUACUGCUCGUCUUGAGCCAACUAGGGGCGACCGGAACAAACGGUGGAGCGGUGAAAUGCGCAGAUAUCGUUUGGAACGCCGAUGGUGAAAACAGGUCGCUGGGGUUGUGCUGACGCUGAGGAGCGAAAGCGUGGGGAGCGAACAGG